GCUCGGGUGAUGUAAUUGGUAAACAUGUAUGCUUGAGGUGCAUAUGGCGCAAGCCGUGGGAGUUCAAGUCUCCCCCCGAGCACCA
rnacentral:tRNA from 2 species